rnacentral:rRNA from 1 species
AUUGAACGCUGGCGGCAGGCCUAACACAUGCAAGUCGAACGAGCGGCGGCCGGGUGAGUAAUGUUUGAGGAUCUGGCUGAUAGAGGGGGAUAACUAAUGGAAACGGUGGCUAAUACCGCAUACUAUCGGAUCAACCCAAGUGGGAUUAGCUAGUUGGUGGGGUAAAGGCUCACCUAGCCGACGAUCUCUAGCUGGUCUGAGAGGAUGACCAGUCACACGGGGACUGAGACACGGCCCAGACUCCUACGGGAGUCAGCAGUGGGGAAUAUUGCACAAUGGGCGCAACCCUUACGCAGCCAUGCCGCGUGUAUGAAGAAGGCCUUAGGGUUGUAAAGUUCUUUCGGCAGGGAGGCGUUACCCGCAGAAGAAGCACCGGCUAACUCCGUGCCAGCAGCCGCGGUAAUAC